rnacentral:rRNA from 1 species
UACGGGGGGAGCAAGCGUUGUUCGGAUUUACUGGGCGUAAAGGGCGCGUAGGCGGCGCAACAAGUCACUUGUGAAAUCUCCGGGCUUAACUCGGAACGGUCAAGUGAUACUGUUGUGCUAGAGUGCGGAAGGGGCAACUGGAAUUCUCGGUGUAGCGGUGAAAUGCGCAGAUAUCGGGAGGAACACCCGUAGCGAAGGCGGCACUCUGGGCCGGAACUGACGCUGAGGAGCGAAAGCGUGGGGAGCAAACAGG